UACCAUCGCUAAAGAACACUGAUUUUUGAUUGGUUGACAAGUGUUGGGGUCUCGUGAGUUCGUUUCUGCAGCGAGGCUUGCGCAGUCUUCAGUCAGAAAGGUCGUCACACUAUUUCUGGCUUUUUUAGUGUUUCUCUCUGGAUGUAAGAGGAUGAUGUAGCACUUUGGGGCAAAUAUGGCCACCAAUAAUCCAAAACUGGAAGCCAAAAUGGCAAAAAUCUCCACAGCCACUGCAUAUUUUCCAGGUGAACUGAUAUAAGCUGGAACAAACGCAAUCCAUACAGCACAAAAGAUCAACAUACUAAAGUUGUAUUAGAAAUCUCUCCAUCUCCACAUGGCAGGCAGUCAAAACAGCAGACAGGAAGGCCUUUUCUCCUGGCUCGUCUUGUGCCUGGUGGGCAGCUCUCACUGCACACAGACCAUGGAGGCUGAUGAAUGGAUCACGAAAACAGUAAUUUGAGUGCAUUUCCAGUAUAAUGCAUCUUCAUCCAGUGUGAGCACCUUCCCUGUUGCCGCCCCUUCAUCCACCACACCGACUGUGCGGACAAUGAUUGACCCAUCAGCGCUCGGCUGCCAGUUCAUCACAUCAUAGAUGGCCAGAGCAUCUCCAUUCUCAUCAAAUGACACAUGAUCCCCAAAACCUGUGGUGAAGUUCACCUUCUGUAGGACGAAGGUGCAACAGAAAGUCACGAAGUCCCUGGAUUUCUCCACGCCUGAUGGCGAUGCCCAGUGUGCCCCCAAGAAAAGGCAGAAGACGCUGCGUUUGAAAUACAGGAGAGGUGGCCCAAGCUUCACUUGCAAUCCACUGCUUCCCUGUUACGUUCUGCAAUGCCACCUCAUCCAUCAAAGUGUGGCAUGGCUGUCUGGAUGCACACUUACUCCUCACAGUAUGGUGGUUCCGGUUCAGUUCUGAAACUCAGCUCUGGGAACACAGCAAGAAAGUGAACUUCAAACAAGCCUCCAAGUAUAAGAUCUCCAUCCUGCUAUUGCUUGCUGGGCCCCUGGCUGAGAUUAAUGGAACUAGUCUGUGAGAAAUCUGACUUAGAUAAGCUUCAAAGGGUCAAACGUCACACCAGAAAUGAUCGGUUCAGGACAGCCGAGGAAAAACCACUACAAUACCAAGACUGUCCUGUUGAAGACAUAUUCUCGAGGACAUUAAAACAAGUCGCCAAGGAAGCGAAACGGGGAUUUUAAACGACAACGCGACAGGAAAAACAUCAAGACCAAAGUCAAUAUUGGAGUUAGUUUUCCAAGAUGGGGCUCAAGGGACACUGAAGUUGCUACUUUCUAUCUUCUCCACAGGUAAUUCAGCAUAUUCGUUUACAUCGAUACAGUCUAUGUUGUAAACUUGAAGUUUUAUAGUUCCUUGGCUAACUAUAGCAUGGUUAUGCAGUUAGUGUAAACACGCAUGUGGUUUAAUGUGUUCGAACAGCCACACGCCGUCUCUCCGCCCAUUUAUGUAAUCUGAGGUACUGAGAAAAAUGUUUUUCAUCUUUUCUGACCUCUAGCACAAACACACGGUGACAGCCCUAUUUUUAGCCUUUCAUUGAU